rnacentral:rRNA from 1 species
GUAAAGCACUUUCAGUGAGGAGGAAAAGUUGGUCGUUAAUACCGGCCAGCCUUGACGUUACUCACAGAAGAAGCACCGGCUAACUCCGUGCCAGCAGCCGCGGUAAUACGGAGGGUGCAAGCGUUAAUCGGAAUUACUGGGCGUAAAGCGCGCGUAGGUGGUUUGAUAAGCGAGAUGUGAAAGCCCCGGGCUUAACCUGGGAACGGCAUUUCGAACUGUCAGGCUAGAGUAUGGUAGAGGAGUGUGGAAUUUCCUGUGUAGCGGUGAAAUGCGUAGAUAUAGGAAGGAACACCAGUGGCGAAG